GAUGAACGCUGGCGGCGUGCCUAAUACAUGCAAGUCGAGCGAACAGACGAGGAGCUUGCUCCUCUGAUGUUAGCGGCGGACGGGUGAGUAACACGUGGAUAACCUACCUACAAGACUGGGAUAACUUCGGGAAACCGGAGCUAAUACCGGAUAACAUGUUGAACCGCAUGGUUCAACAGUGAAAGACGGUCUUGCUGUCACUUAUAGAUGGAUCCGCGCCGCAUUAGCUAGUUGGUAAGGUAACGGCUUACCAAGGCAACGAUGCGUAGCCGACCUGAGAGGGUGAUCGGCCACACUGGAACUGAGACACGGUCCAGACUCCUACGGGAGGCAGCAGUAGGGAAGCUUCCGCAAUGGGUGAAAGCCUGACGGAGCAACGCCGCGUGAGUGAAGAAGGUCUUCGGAUCGUAAAACGCUGUUAUUAGGGAAGAACAAAUGUGUAAGUAACUAUGCACGUCUUGACGGUACCUAAUCAGAAAGCCACGGCUAACUACGU
rnacentral:rRNA from 1 species